rnacentral:rRNA from 1 species
UACGUAGGUGGCGAGCGUUGUCCGGAUUUACUGGGCGUAAAGGGUGCGUAGGCGGAUGUUUAAGUGAGAUGUGAAAUACCCGGGCUUAACUUGGGUGCUGCAUUUCAAACUGGAUAUCUAGAGUGCAGGAGAGGAGAAUGGAAUUCCUAGUGUAGCGGUGAAAUGCGUAGAGAUUAGGAAGAACACCAGUGGCGAAGGCGAUUCUCUGGACUGUAACUGACGCUGAGGCACGAAAGCGUGGGUAGCAAACAGGAUUAGAUACCCUGGUAGUCCACGCCGUAAACGAUGAGUACUAGGUGUAGGAGGUAUCGACCCCUUCUGUGCCGCAGUAAACACAUUAAGUACUCCGCCUGGGAAGUACGAUCGCAAGAUUAAA